GAUGAACGCUGGCGGCGUGCCUAAUACAUGCAAGUCGAGCGAACGGACGAGAAGCUUGCUUCUCUGAUGUUAGCGGCGGACGGGUGAGUAACACGUGGAUAACCUACCUAUAAGACUGGGAUAAAUUCGGGAAACCGGAGCUAAUACCGGAUAAUAUUUUGAACCGCAUGGUUCAAAAGUGAAAGACGGCCUUGCUGCCACUUAUAGAUGGAUCCGCGCUGCAUUAGCUAGUUGGUAAGGUAACGGCUUACCAAGGCAACGAUGCAUAGCCGACCUGAGAGGGUGAUCGGCCACACUGGAACUGAGACACGGUCCAGACUCCUACGGGAGGCAGCAGUAGGGAAUCUUCCGCAAUGGGCGAAAGCCUGACGGAGCAACGCCGCGUGAGUGAUGAAGGUCUUCGGAUCGUAAAACUCUGUUAUUAGGGAAGAACAUAUGUGUAAGUAACUGUGCACAUCUUGACGGUACCUAAUCAGAAAGCCACGGCUAACUACGUG
rnacentral:rRNA from 1 species